UGGCUCAGGAUGAACGUUGGCGGCGUGCCUAAGAUAUGCAAGUCGAGCGGUCCCUUUCGGGGGAUAGCGGCAGACGGCUGAGUAACACGUACGAACUUGCCCCAUACUUGGAGAUACCCCAUCGAAAGAUGGGUUAAUACCCAAUAGUCCAGGUACCUUUAGGUAUCUGGUAAAGAGCGUAACUGCUCGGUAAGGGAGAGGCGUGCGGACUAUCAGGUUGUUGGUGAGGUAACGGCUCACCAAGCCUAUGACGGUUAACCGAUCUUAAUAGGAUGUUCGGUCAGAGGAGCACUGAGACACGGGCUCCACACCUACGGGUGGCAGCAAUCGGGAAUAGUUGGCAAUGGGCGAAAGCCUGACACGCGACGCCGCGUGCAGGAAGACACUCUAACGAGCGUAAACUGCUGUGGCGAGGGAAGAAGUCCCACUUAGGUGGGAUUGACGGUACCUCGCUAGAAAGUAACUGCUAACUGCGUGCCAGCAGCAGCGGUAAUACGUGGGUUACAAACGUUAUCCGAUGUUACUUGGCGUAAAGAGUGUGUAGGCGGUCUUCUAAGUUACCUCCCCCCUCUGCUUACCAGAGGAAGGGGAGGUGAUACUGGUAGUACUAGAGUUACCUUUAGGGAAAUCGGAAUUUAUGGAGGAGUAGUGAAAUGCGCUGAUACCAUAAAGAACACCGAUGGCGAAGGCAGAUUUCUGGAAGGUGACUGACGCUGAGACACGAAAGCUAGGGGAGCAAACCGGAUUAGAGACCCGGGUAGUCCUAGCUGUAAACGAUGCUCGCUGGUUGCAUUCCCCCGCCUUUUGGCGAGGGGGGUGUGGCGAAGCUAACGCGUUAAGCGAGCCGCCUGGGGAGUACGGUCGCAAGGCUGAAACUCAAAGGAAUUGGCGGGGAGACACACAACUAGUGGAUCAUGUGGUUUAAUUCGAUACAAACCGAAGAACCUCACCAGGGUUUGACAUGUUAAUGCAAUCACGCCGAAAGGCGAGAGUUCAAUUUAUUGACACUAACACAGCUGCUGCAUGGCUGUCGUCAGUUCGUUCCGUGAGGAGUGCCCUUAAGUGGGACAACGAACGCAACCUUCGUCCUGCGUUACAAGUGUCGCAGGAGACUGCCCUGCAUAUCUGCGGGGAGGAAGGAGGAGCGGACGUCAAGUCAGCAUGGCGCUUAUACCCUGGGCGACACACAUGAUACAAUGGGCCUGACAAAGGGUCGCUAACCGGCAACGGCAAGCAAAUCCCAUAAACAGGUUCUCAGUGGGGAUUGGGGUCUGAAACUCGACCUCAUGAACGAGGAAUUAGUAGUAAUCGCGGAUCAGCUAUGCCGCGGUGAAUACGUUCUUGUCUCUUGCACACACUGCCCGUCAAGCCAACAAAGUUGGGAGCACCUGAAGACUCCACAAUCUGUGGGGGCGAGGGUGAGCUCAGCGAUGGGGGCUAAGUCGUAACAAGGUA
rnacentral:rRNA from 1 species